rnacentral:lncRNA from 1 species
AUGUUAUUGUUGUCUUGGAUGGCAGUCGAGCUCCUUGCCAUCCAGGAGUUCUAUACCAGGUGGUGUCAGAGGAAGACCCUAAAAAUUGUCAAAGACUCCUGCCACCCAAGUCAUAGACUCUCUGCUACAGCACGGCAAGAAGCACCGGAGCGCCAAGUCUGUGACCAAAAGGCUCCUGAACAGCUCCUGAAUGAAAUGGCUACCCGGACUAUUUGCAUUGACCCAUUUUUUUUUGUACUGGAACUAUGCACACUCACUAAACUCUAUUUGGACAGUGACACAUUUAGUUUUGUUUUGUUUUGGCUCUGUACUCCAGCACUUUGGAUUUGAAAUUAUACUGUUAAAGUGUAGACUGUCAACUUUAAUUUGAGAGUAUUUUCAUCCAUAUCGAACUGUUUAGAAAUUACAGCACUUUUUGUACAUGGUCCUCCCAUUUUUGACGUAGUAGAACGUUAUUUGGUCCCAUAUUCAUAGCACACAAUGAUUAUGUCAUCUUGUGACUCUACAAAUUGGUUGGAUGCAUUUGCUGUUUGUUUUGGAUGUGUUUCAGAUGAUUUUGUGCCAAAUAGAAAUUAAUGGUAAAUAAUGUAUUGUGUCACUUUGGAGUCACUUUUAUUGUAAAUAAGAAUUGAAUAUACAGUACCAGUCAAAAGUUUGGACACCUACUCAUUCAAGGGUUGUAGGAUAAUUGUAGGAUAAUAGGAUAAUAGUGGAUAAUAGGAUAAUAGUGAAGACAUCACAACUAUGAAAUAUCACAAAUGGAAUCAUGUAGUAACCAAAAAAGUGUUCAACAAAUCAAAAAAUAUCUUAGAUUCUUCAAAGUAGCCACCAUUUGCCUUGAUGACAGCUUAGCACACUCUUGGAAUUCUCUAAACCAG